rnacentral:misc_RNA from 1 species
AUCGUGGAUCGUGACAGAUUCGAAGCUACGUGAGCACAUCAAGAUCUCAUUGGGGAAGAAACUCGGCACGCUCUACGGUGAGUUCUACAUCAAAUACCGUUCGCGAUUGGAGAAUCUUUACGGAACUGAUUCGGAGGUGAGAUUUGCGCCGGAUGAUUUAGGGAACUACUUGUCGGACUUGCUUCACGGCGAUGGGAAUUCAGGAGGGAGUGUUUCUUCAUCAUCGUCGUUGUCGUCGUCGCCGUACCAUUUCCACGGUGGUCGGCGGAGUGGAUG